GACUUGCAUGCUAAAUGGCAUGUGUUGUCUUCUGCCCUAAACAAAGAGAGCCAGUACUUGAUGAACACAACUGCUGCAAGUCCAGUUUUGCCACGGCCUGCCCGUUGCUGAAGCCUCAUUCCAGCGGGAUUCACUCUGUUUCCACAGCCGGUGCAGAAAGUGUUGAGCAGCCCACCCCUGAAGCUUGAUUCACCACGAAGAGAAGCAACAUGAUUCCCAAGACCUUUUAAGCCAGACCGUGUCAAAGACUCAAGGAGCCUUGUUGCCGGGGGAACACACCGGAGUCUGUCUUUGGUGCUUUAAUAAACAAAAGUGCUUC